GCCCUGUAGCAGACGUCAUUCCCAUCUCAGGUAAAUCAAUAAGCUGUGUCUCUCAGCGUGAGAUUAUCUGUCUAAGAUGGAGAUCGAAUUGGAGAUGGAAGCCAACUAUCAUAGUCCGAAAUGGAGAAGGAGUUGUGCUGCCGAGGCGUAAAUAAAUGGGUUGGCCUCAAUAUCCGAAUUCUGCACUGGAUUUCCUGCGUUUGAGAUUGGGUUUUGGACGUUCCUCCAUGAUUAAAGUUCCAGAAAGGUGACUUGUUUGCUUGACAUCUACAGCAUCACUCUUAGAGACAAAGCAAUUGCUCUAAAUUUCACGUCUAUCCACCACCGCUUAAAAAGAGACAUGCUGCACCCUACUUUCAUGUAAUAGGCAAACUCCUUUAAUUAAUGUAAACCUCAUGGUUAGGUUUAGCUUUUGUUUUGGCGUGUAGGCAUCGAUUAACAAAAAGCAAAACCAACACUUUCAUAUUUUUUUGUUCUCGUUGCUUUUGUUUCAAACCCACUGAGCCUCUUUGCUUUGCACAUUAAUUAGAAGGGGAAGUUCUCCACCGUUUGGCCUUUCAAGUCGGUGCCACAUGCCACAAGAAAUAGAGCUUGAAAUUUAUGCCUUUGAAGGUGUGAUUAACCAAGAAGCUCUAAGUACUCGUUGGAGCAAUUAGAAACAAACCAGGUGCUAUCUCUUUUCCUUUGAACAGAGAAAAGAGCACUGAAGCUCAUAUUCACAGGUGAAGAUGUCGCAUGAAUUGCUUGCUGUCCAUAUCACGUCGUCAGCUUAGCUUUGGACUUCAUGAUCGGAGCUUUUAGCAUUAGAAUUCAGCUGUUCAUGAACAACUUAUUCCAAUUCGUCAGGGGGAGCUUUGAGCAUUGAAACGAGGCCGUUCAUGAACAACCGUUUUGUUUCAAUGCGUUAAGUGUUUGAGAGCAGCAGCGUCAUUUUGGGAAGACUCUAAUAAUUUUGGUCGUUCAUGAACGGCCUAUUAGAGUCUCGGAAGAUCGACCAUGAGACACAGAAGGAUUAAUUGGAGGGAAGGCAGAUGUAUACCUGCAAUUCUUUUGCUUCUUUCUCUGGGAGCGAAAGUUGGAGUGUCCGACCUUCUUCUCUGUUUCUUUUCUUUCUUAGUCUAUGUAUUUCUUGCUCUGUGCCUCUCCUCCUCUGCUGCGUCUUUCUCUUAUGCUCUCGUCUAUGUAGUAUUUUCUGCCCCUUUUCUUUGUUGUUGUAUAGCCUUUUUAUAGGCAACCUAGGAUCACUGUGUGAGCUGAAGAUGACGAUAUCUCUUAUCCAAAUUCAAAUUUGAAUAUAUGAUCAAAGCAGCAACUAACUCA